GGUGUUGUGGCUCAGUGGUAGAGUGCUUGCCUCGCACAUGAGAGGCACUGGGUCUAAUCCUUAGCACCA
rnacentral:tRNA from 1 species